rnacentral:sRNA from 1 species
CCUGAAAUCUCACGAACGCCGCCGAUCGAAUGAA